ACAUCUCAGUUCCUAUCAUCAACGUGGCGAAGGAGCUUCACCAUUCUCGAGGAAUGGUUGCUAUUUGUCACCGGAGAGAGAGAGAGAGAAUUGGAAACAUCGAGGAAGAAGAAGAUGGUGUUGUUAAUGGCGAUGGGAUUGCAGACGGCGAUGGAUCUGAUCGUCGCCGGCGUUUCUCUGAUGAUCGGAUUAGGGUUCUUUGCUCUCGUCGCAUCCAUCCUCUGCUCCGCCGCCUUCCUCCACCACGCCAGAGCCGCCGCUUCCUGAUCUCCCUCCGCCGCAACACCCUCGCCGGAGAAACAGGUAUUAUGGAACCCACCACAUGCUCCUGCUGGACAAGACAAUGGUGUGAUGUACUGUACAGGCCCAGGUCACUCCAACCGCGAUAUCAGCCAAGGAUGUUGCCAAUAUGGUAGAACCUGUCUAGUGGGCUAGUUGCUUAGCCAGCGCAGUUGGAACCCACCCAAAAUGUCAGGACUAUCAAUUCUUUCGUCUCUUUGAAAAGAGAGGCCUAAGCUGAAUGGUACCAAUGGAUGCCUCUGUAAUCUUUCUCUGAGGUCACAGUCCAAGUGAGAAUGGAAAUGUGCGCAGGUUACAUUGUUGAUAGAAGUGAUGGGCCAUUCAGCUUCGGCUGUCACCGUCUCCUCAGAGCGAGAUGCCAGCUCAACUCCUCCUUGUUCUUUUCUCUCUUCUCAUUUCAUGUACUAACUGCCCGCCCAUUGAUUGAUGUUGUUGUUGUUUUUCUGCUGCAAUGUCAGCAACAAGAACAGAUUCAAAGAGGCAGAGAAUUGCAGGAACAGGUAUUGGAGUAUAUCCGCACAACAAACCGGUAUUACACAGUAAGAUCCGAAGAAAGAAGACAUAUAUGGAUAAGUUGCAGGAACAGCAUCUGCAUAUACACCAAAAAUAUUUUCUUCGCAAGCCUCCAGUGUGGCGUCUGGACUAAAAGAGGCAGGGGAUUUUUCAAGAACAGUGGCUUUUGUCAUUGGAUUAAGAUAAGACCAAAACCUGGCGCUGCAUGCUUUGUGUUGUCCCUUUGAAGCUGGUUGCUUGGCCCUGAAGAGGCAUCAGAAGCCAUCGAGUCGUCGUCAUCAUCAUCAUCAUCGUCAUCAUCUCUCUCGUGGAAAUCAUCAACAACACCAGAAUGCUCAUUUCCAUUGAAGGCAUCAUCGAGAAGGAAAGCCGGAGCCUAUGGGAUCAUGGGCAUAUAAGGCUCUCACCACAUGGCAGCCCCAAGGCUCCAUUGUUUUCACUCAAUUCAAGCACUACAAGACAAAGUCCAUUUUCCACAUAGAUAUGCAAGCAAGGAAAAUGGUUUGGUUUGUUUGAACCCCAAGACCGGAGUCUACAGAUAUCACCAAGCACCGAUCCCCACCAAAACCAGAGAUGAUCCCUUUAAGCCCCUCUCUCUCUCUCUCUCUCUCUCUCUCUCUCUCUCUCUCUCUCUCUCUCUCAUAAAGACUGAUUGGCUUCUCAUAAAUAUGAAGAAGAGCAGCAGCUUUUGAGGUGGCGAAAGCACAGGCCUCAUCUCAACCAAACAGGAAGGGGGAUAUAUAUGAGUGAGAGAAGCGGGUUUUUUCUUAAUUAGGUUAGGAGCACUUCCUCUUCCUCGUUCCUUUAUUACUCUUCACCACCUCCACUCCUGUCAUCCUCAUCAAAAAAAGCGGCAGCCUUUUCAACCCAACUGGAUCUUUUAUUGUCGUUUACUUCCUCCCCUCUAAGCAAACAAUUCCCUUGGUUACAGCUAAGCAAAUCAAGCGUUAGGGCAGAUCCAACAUUUACAAAAAGGGUAAUUUUUUUUUUUACUUUUGACCCUUAAUGUGGUAAGUCCAUUUAGUUCUUGGCCUUUUAUGAUUUAUAUGAAUCUCAUUCAUAGUACAAACACAAUAAUAACGAUAAUAAUGCACACCGCCGGUGUGGGUCUCAGCGAAUUGAUGUUUUAGGAUUA